CUCCAAUAGUAAUAAUAACAAGUAGAUGAAAAAUUGAAAGACCCAAGGUUCCCAUCCUCAGCUUUUUAAGAAGAGGAAAAUUUUAUAUUACUCCUAUGAGUCUGAGUCUCUCUCUCUCUCUCUCUCUCUUCCUUUCUUUCUCUCUCUCUGUGUGUGUCUGUCUGUCUCUCUCUCUCUGUGCAUCCUUUUGUCUUUCUGUCUCUGUCUGUGUGUCCUGAGGAUUGAUGGUAGGGUCCCACUCAUGCUAGGCCAACUAUACCAGUGAACUACACCAUAUUAUUUUUUCCAUCUGGGCUGAUCUUAAGUCACUCUUAACCCACUGAGAUCAUAGAUCUUUGAUCUGCCUGUCUCGGGUUUCUAAGUAGCUGAGAUGAUAGGCCUACAACAACAUACCUGGCUCUCUAUGCACUUUGGAUAAGACAUUUUAUGUAUUCCAGAAGCUCAGUGGAAACUCAUGUCUGGUUCAAAUCCAACCUCCACCACUGGUUGAACUGUGUGACAUUAAGUAAAUGGUUUACUCUCCAUCUUGCUUGAUGAUGAUGAUGAUGAUGACAAUGCUGAUAGGAGUGAAGUAACUUUCACAAUUCAGUUUUUUAGAGAUCCCUGCAAUAGGUAUUAAGAGAUUUGUAGACCCAAUAUCCAGUGAAACAGCAUAACUUCUGGAAAGGGUAAGAACACAACCACUUGGAUAUUCUGGAAAUUGUUCAAAGAGCAUUCAACAACCUAACAAAUAUUUACUCAAUAAAAUCCGUGUAUGGAAGAUCAACAAGCAUCAGUGUUCCUUAGUUGAAACUAUACAAGGCAGUGGGAUAUAUAUGGCCAAGAGACAGAAGGACCAGGCCCCUGGGCUCCAGUUCAGGGGCACAGUGUCUUCCAGGGGAGGCAUUUCACAUCCCCUGCAACCUCAGUUCACAGAGGCUCACUAUUUUCCUGGUUAACACAGACAGGAGAUGGGGGUUCCCACCUUGAUCCAGUCCCCACUCAUAUGCAAGGGAACUAUUUAGAUCUCUGCUCAUAAAGCAGAGGUGUCCCUCUUCAAGAGACAGGCCACUGUCCAGCAGCCUCAGCAUCACCGAGGAAAAGCUGCCAGGAAGAAUAGAGGAUGCAAUCGUCUCUCAGAAAACAAACUUCUUUGACACACAGUAAGGGAAACUUCAUGCCUUUCUCUAAAACAAUGCAGACUUGGUGAGAAACUAAGAGGGCAGUUGUACGUAUGCAAAGUUAACAACCGUAGGCCAGCUAAUCUACUAGUCACAACUGGGGGAAAGAUAACUAAGAAGAACAUUUCUUAAGUGAGGGAAAAAAAUCUCUUCUCAAGGGUUGCCCUCAAAAAAAAUACCUUGCUUAAAUUUAAUUAGGUCAAAUGGUGGUGCAAUUUGUGUCCUAGGGAAUAGUUGGAAAGGAGAGAAGAGUCAUCAGGCAAUUGGUGGAGCCCAACAGCUGGGCUGUGACGUAAUGGAGAAGGACAACUGAACAGUCGGGAAACGAGACAAAGAACUCUGCUGAAGCCACCACCAUCCCAGGGUAGCAGCACAUGCCAGAGGCUUCACACAGUGGAGUCAUAGCAAGGAUAAGAUUCAUUAAGACUAGAGCCAAGCCAGUGAACAGAGACAGAGUCUAGUGGUAAAGAAUUUGCAACAUAGAGAACAGAAAACAACAAUGAAAGUAAUAAUGGAGAAAUGAGAAGAGCAUCUCAGAGAAACAUGGACCAGCACUGUGUACAUGAACACAUACACAACAGGAAUACCAGAAGGGGAGGGGCAACAACCUGAACAGAAAAAGAUGCCCAAAGAAAUGGUGGCUGAAAAGAAACCGAAUUUGAUGAAGAUCAAAUUUUGAGUCUAGAUGACUCAAAACCUUAAUACAUUAGAAGAAUAAAACAAAAAGCCCAACAAAGAGAUGCAUCACAUUUUAAAUAUUUAAAUAAAAGGCAAGAAGGGGGGCAAAAGCCUGAGUUCAGCCAGGUCACCACAUGUUAGAAGGAGAGAAAAGACUCCUGCAGUUGUCAUUUGAUCACUGAUGUGGUCAGUAGCAUGCGUUAUAACACACAUGCAUGUACACACACACCCCUACACACAUAAAUGUAAUAAUUAAAAAAUUAAAAAAACAGGAAGAAAAUAUUGAAAGUGGUAAGAGAAAGAAAAACCCCUACAUAUAAAGUAACCCUUCUGAGCCUUAUAUCUUACUUCUUCUUAGAAUCACAGAGGCCAGAAGCCCAAUGCAGUGGAAUGACAUGGUCAAGGUGUCAAAGAAACUGCCAACCAAGAGUCUUUGGCCCAGUAAAGUUAUCUUUUACAAAUCAUAGCAAAAUAAAGACAUUUGUAUAAAAAAAAAGACAGAAAGAAUUUGUUCUCUCAGACAUUCCUUAGUAGGAACAAUAAAAGAAGUUUUUUUAGGUCAGAGUCAAGAGAAAGUAACAUUAAUCCUCAUCAAAUCAAAGAAACAGACAUUGGCACAGACCAUCAUGUAUUGUGGUCUUAGGAUAUAGCUCAGUUGGUAGAAUAGUUGUUUAGCAUGUGCAAAGCCCUGGGUUCGAUUCCUAGCAUGGAAUAAAUACAGAGUGGUGGUGCUCACCUACAAUGUCAGCACUGGGGAGGUAGAGGAGGGGGAUCAGAAGCUCAACAUCAUCCUUGGUUACACAGAGAGGUUGAGGACUGAAAGACCCUGUCUCUAAAAAUAUGUGUAUAUUAUAUAUAGCAUAUAUAUAAUAGAUAUUACAAUAAAAUUACAUAAAGAGGUUGAGG
ensembl:lncRNA